AACUUCUGACGACUGAGGCGGAAGCCAGCAUGCUCUCUCUCUCUCUCUCUCUCUCUCUCUCCCUCUUUUUUUUUUUUUUUUUUUUGAGGCGACACAACCCAGAGAGCAGGGGCUGUCUGCCCCAGCUCGAUCCCUGCGGCCGCGGGGUGGGCACGGGCUCAGCUCAUGGGCAGCCGGCACCCCCCGGCCGAGAGGGGCGAGUCCUGCCCCGCACGGGAUGGGGUCGAUUGCUCCCACACCCGCCUACCCCGCUCCCCUGACGCUUCCAGCUGCGCACCCUACCCCGAGCCGGUCCUCGGCGUACCGUGCUCCCCCUGUGCGGGGCACGGAGGACGGGGAUGUUUCCCAGGGCUGCUCUGGGAAGGGAAGGAGAAAGAGGGAAGGAGGGGGGGUGGGGGGGAGUUGGAGCGGGGAAAAUAGGAAAAUAUUAAAAAAAAAAAAAAAAAGGAAGGAAGAAAGAAAGGCGGCCGCCUGGGGAAGCAUGGGGCAGGGUGGGGGCUGGGGAGGGAGCGCAGGAGCACGGCAGUGAAGGAGUGCGGCCCCCCCGCACCCGGGCGUCACCGAAGUCCAGGAAAAUUAUGCUAAUGAAGACAAACGGCGCUCACAAAGGGUCGCUCUCACCAGCCUCCAGGGUGCUGCUGUGGGGGUUUGAGUUUGUCCCUCUUACCGGUGGGCUUGGGGGGCAGCUGCAGAAUAGCCCCUCUGCCGCUCCCCACGGCCGGGAGCCCCGCACAGCCCCGGCUGAGUCUCGGCGAGGGGAGCAAAGCCCGGAGAGCCGGGGCUGGGUCCUCAGAGCCAACCGAAGCCCACCAGGAUCCCCGCUCUGGGCAAUGCUUUCAGAGCCACGCUGGAAAUCAUUAGAGUUACUAAUUAUUAACUCAUGCAUGCGUGAGCGCACACACACACAGAUGUACACACAGACACCCCCUGCCCCCCUCAAAUAUCCCCAGCGCCCGGGACGGGCACAGAGGCGCUCACGCACGCACAUGUGCUGCACAGACGGGUCGGGGUGCCCGCAGCACCCCGUGGGGACGCGUGGGUGGGAGCCUCGCGUGGCCGCGGGCCCGUCCCUCAGCUCGUCUCACAGCUCGCCUUCGCCUCCUUUCCGCGGCACAGCUGAGGAAGGCGCUGGCCUCUUUCCUCAGCCCCACGGGCUUUGGGGGUGGCGGUGUCCCCCCAGUUUCCUGCACCAGAAACACGGCAGCGACCGCGCAAACGAGAACUCAAACAAAGUUGGGGAUCCUGCCCGUCUGGCAGACGGUAACGGGGCUCUGGGCUCCGAGCAUUAAGCGGAGCCCGCGAAUAAAAUCUAGGUGUAAACUUGACGUUACUUCGUUAAUUAAGGCAUUAUAAAUAUAACUAGUCCGUUUAAAGCACGAGGGAACCCAGCGUCAUCUUUAAACACAAACAAAGCGAGGGGGAAGCGAGAAAUAAAAAGCACUAUAAGGCUGGGGUGGCCUCUUACGCAUACCAAUGGUUUUUGUCAUUUAUGGCUAUGCAAGAUUUAUGACUUCGUGCACCAAAGCUGUAAACAGAGCACUAAAACAGAAAACACUUGCUCCUUAUGGCACAAGUGAGAAGGCACCACAUGAAAGGGGAAGCGGCCAGCGUAGGAGGAGAGAAGAGGCAAAAAUCCUUCGUAUGCGUUUUGCUUCAAACAAUCCUGUGAAUGUUGCUUUGGAAGAAAAAAAAAAAAAAAAGUCUUUUUAGUCAAUAAUCAACCCCACACUUUCUUCUGAAACUGCUGAUCUGCCAUUCGCCCACUUGCCCGGCCAAAUACUGAGAGGCAGCGCUGCGCCCCGGCGGAGCCCCCCGGACUGGCGAGGAGGAUUUGGACAGGGAGAGAAAAGAUGGGGACUGCCGAAACCUGCGGACACCGGGGACCCUGCCGGUUUGGGGGGCCCGCCGAAAACUGGGCCAGUUUUUCCUAAGAGCGCGUUUCAACUUGGGAGCCAUCUCCAGCGGGAUUUUCUGACCAAAUGUCUGUAUUUAAGAACGGGGAACGGGAAGCGGGGGGAGGUUUUUUUUUAGAAAUGGAAGGGUAUGUAAGGACUUUAAUCGUGAGAACCGGAGUGGUUCAUAGGAAUAUGGAAGCGUUUCUUCCAUUCAUCUUGCUGCCUGGAAAGUGUAUUUUGCGAGAUUUCUCCAAUUAGUCCCAUUUCCCCACGCCCCCCCCCCUCCCCAAAGAGGUAAUUUUAAACAUGAGAAGAUGAUUAUUUUUUUUUUAUGUCUCCUAUGAUGUCGGGAUAAGUGUCCCAACGCACAGAUCCCCGCUGCUUUUAUCUGUCUUUCCCUCCCAGAGGCCGAAUAUUUUCUUUCUGCUCCAUUCCACGGAGAGAGAUAGGGCUCAGCUCGGGGGGGCACGGGCAGGGUUUGGGGCUGAUUUCUGAGUCAGAAAUGACCUGCCUUUUCUCCCCGAAGAGUCCCACUCUGUGGCACUCCCUCCCCUCCCUCCCGCCCCAACUCCCCCGAAUUACUAUUUUCCGAAUAAAAUAAUGCCUGUAAAGCACCUUGUCCUUGGAUGCCCCGAAAUGGAAGCAGGCAGCACCAUAAUUCAGGGCUGCUUCUGGGGGAUCUCUUAGAGAUGAAAUAGCAAAGCAGGGAGUUCAGGGAGAAGUGGGCCACUCCUGGAAGUGGUGCUUGUCCAAGUCGUUAGAGAGUUAGAAGGGGAUAUCAGCUGAAUUAGAGAAGGACUGGACAAUCGAAGCAAGCCGUGGUCAAUCUAAAUUGUUGUUUAUAUUUUCUAACGCUAGAGAGGCAACGCACUCUUUGCUAUUUGCUCAACAGCCUGAAGUUAUUUACACAACUCGCCGAAAUCCCCCUUUCCUCCAGAACUCUUCUUGCUUUCUUUUACUCUAGAGCAGGACUGUAUUAUUUAUGAGUGUUUUAACUGGGUCAAUAUGCAUCCAAACUGGGUCAUAAAUCAGCGGAAAGACUGCCAAGUAAUUUAACUGCAAUUAAAGCUUGGAUUUUAUUUUUGAGGCACAUUUUGGCCCAUUUCAAAAUACGGCAAAGCCAAUGUUGGCUUUUAAACACACAGAAGGGAGAAAAAGAGCUCUCCUUCCCUUACUGAAGAGAGAGAUAUCGUGCUUCAGUGUGGCGAGAAGGGGAAAUAAAAUUUAUUUGGGUCAGUUCUGCUUCGAGAGCCGCUUUAAAGAGCAGGGAAACGUGAGACCAUCCCAAACAUCACCCUGAAGGUCUCUGCAGAAUGGCCGCGAAUAGCUCCGAGUGGAAAUAACCUUUUUUUUUUUUUUUUUUUUUGGUGCUCUCAGCGGAGUUUUUAUCAUCGUUCACUUUUCUCCCUCUCUCCCUCUCUUUCUGACCCCUUAGAAGACGAGCAAUUACAAACAGCGCGUAACUGGACACAAAAUGGCUCAACAAGAAUAAGCGAGAGGCAUGGAACGAACUGGAGGAAAGCGAGUCCCGGGGCUCCAACCUUUCCCAAAGCCGGGGCAGACCGGGGAAACAGGGAUUCAUUUAGCAUUUUGCCCUCUUUGGAUAGCCAAAUCCCCAGUCAGAGAGGCAGAAUAAACCCCCACAUUUUCAAGGCUGAUUUAUUGUUAGAAGCCGUGGCUGGCUCUUGGUUCAGCUCCUUCUCACCGCGGAGAAAUAAAGAGGAGCGCCUUGGCUCAUUUGGGAAGGGGAAGCUUUGCCAUGGAGCUGAGCACUCAUGCAGCGCUCCUCGCACAAUAAACAAAGUACCACUAAAGCAUCAUAAAUAAAAUGGCAGCACGAUCGCACA